rnacentral:lncRNA from 1 species
GCUAGGUCAGUGGGGACGGGGAGAUGAAAUGGCACCUGGCGCUGCUGCGCACCCCCCAUCUUUUCUCUGGCAGGGGAGAGGAGGGGGGGACAGACACACUGGUCUGCCCAGGCGGCUGCAGCUCUGGGACACCAGCCACAGGGCACUGGGAGCCCGGAGUGCUGUCGGAGGCUUUUGUUCCCUGUUGCCGGGAUAUCUGCCUGCUCAGUCAUCCGAGCUCUGAGCCGCAGGGUGGCUCUCGGUGCCACCCCCGUCGCCUGCCCUCCCUCCCUCACCCUGCCGCUGACAGCCUCUGGCCAAAGCCCUCGGCUCCCCCAGGGCCUGGACCACCGUCUCCCUUUGCCUGGGCCUGGCUGGCCCUCUCUAGAGAAGAAAACAAAUCCAUUCCACGGGCUAGGGAAUGUCGGUGAAACAACCUGGCCACACCGCACUUCUUAGAAGCAAAUAUUCUAUGGGAGAAACAAUCACAAGGGGUAACUCUAGAGCCUCAAGCACUGAAGUCAUCAACUGAGUUGGUGACACUCCAAACCCCCUUGGGCUGGGGUGCAAGAGCUGACGGACGCAGCCUUGGCGGCCACCUUCUCCUUCAAGCUCCUUGGCCAGGUGGGAGCCGUCAGGUCCACAUGCACACCUCCAACACUUCCCAAGCGAUGGCCAGCGCUAAAGCAGAAGCAAUAGGAUGACAUCUGCUGGUGCGUCUGUAUCCAGGCCGGGCAUACGUGUGCUCUGGAGGUGCCCCUGAGGGAGGGGCCUCAGAGCAGCAGGGGGAAGAGUCUGGCUCCUGGAACACAUAGUGUUCCCUGCUUGGGGGAGACUUUCCUGCCCUCCUUCUUCCUCCUACGUCCUUGCUCUGUGGGCCAUUCCUUCUCUUCUAGCCUUACUGGAAACAACAUUCUUCCAACUGAAGAUGUAACUGAGGCCUGAAUUAUGGUAAAGGAAGAUUAUUACAACAGCCUUUAAAAUACUUGCCUAAGCUGAGCUCCUGAAGAAACUUGGACCUGUCUCCUUGACCACGCCUUUAGUACGUCUGCCGGCCCGAGAGUCCUCUUUUACAGUAAUGUUGACCAUAUUCCUAACUAAAGCAAGACCUGACCAGCUGCCAAAUAGUCCUCCCCCUCCCCCCAGUGGAAGAAAUGGCUACUGCUAUUCAACACUGAGAAUGCCAGAACAGCUCUGUGGGGCUCCACUGAAAACCUGCAGCAGGGAGGCUGAUGAUGGGAGCUGCUUAGAGAGCUUCCGAAUCUACUUCAGGUAAAUAUGGACCUGUAUGUAUCUCCUGCAGCACCCGCACCUGACAUCCAUGGCUCUGAGGCCCAGAAAGAGCUGAGGAGGUCAUAGAGAUCAUCAAUGCUCUGCUUGCUUUGAUGUACCAUUAAGAAGACGAUCUUUCCUCUAACAGCCCCAUACAACUGAGCAGCGCCACCACGUCAUACCGGUACCCUUUUCUUUACCCCUUAAAGAAUACCCAGGAAAGAAAGAUAACUAAAGGAAGUAAAGGACCAGAUCUUUUACCACCUUCCUGCGUGGGUGAUCCAUCCUCUUCCUCUAUAACAUCAUUUCCCUAGGACAGAAGGAAGGCCCUGUGAGUCUAUGAAGCGGCAAAAUGAGUAAACUGAUUGGCUGAAGACAGAACUAAUCAUCCUACUGGUAUCUAACUCCAGGGCCUACGUUAAUAGCAUAUAUUUCCAUCUGUGUUUAAUAUGCCUCAGAGGCUGAGUAGAGGCAGAUCUUGCUUGGAGAGGCACCAUCUGCCUACAGGGAUUAGAUCCGAGCCACAUUACCCAUAUAUGCUCAGAAUGGUCUGUCAGGAACACCCUUGUUAAUAGUUUAGCUGAUACUGUUUCUCUAAGGUGGAAGUAAAAAUUACUAAAUGAAAGAGCAAAUUGUGAGAUCAUAAGACUUUCAGAAAUCCCUUAAGAUCCCAAACCCCAUCCAGAUCCUCCAUUGACAGGAGUUGGCUCAAGAAGAGUUCUAGGGCUCUCACUGUGAGCUGGCGUUCCACAGCACACCAUGGUCAGGGCACGUCUCACACUGAACUGUGGUCCUGUCUGCCUGCUAGACUGGGCUCCUAGAUGGGUGCAGUGGGCUGGGGGUAGGCAGAAACCUCACCACACAGGUCUGUAUAGGUCUAUAUGUGCCCUAGCACCAGUAGAGCACCUGUGACACAGUCCUCCAUGUAAAUACUAGUGGAAUGAAGGACAAUAUAUUCUCAAGGCCAGGGGCUGGCCAGAAAAGUUCCCUCUUGAACUCACUCCACACCAGUGACCCUGGGAACCAGUGGCCCCACUCACUGGACAGUCCACAGGCCCGGGAGCAGCUGCUCUCAUCUCUACCCACAUUCCACUUCUCACUGAUCUAGGCAUGUCCCCUAGGAAGGCUUCGUCAGCGCAGCCUCCUGGCCCUGGUCCUUACUGGCAUCCCCAGCCAAGGCCAGCACUCCUCUGGUUGUGGGAAGGGGGCACCACUCCGUGCUGUUGGG